AUUGAACGCUGGCGGCAUGCCUUACACAUGCAAGUCGAACGGCAGCACGGGAGCAAUCCUGGUGGCGAGUGGCGAACGGGUGAGUAAUAUAUCGGAACGUGCCCAGUCGUGGGGGAUAACGUAGCGAAAGCUACGCUAAUACCGCAUACGAUCUAUGGAUGAAAGCGGGGGAUCGCAAGACCUCGCGCGAUUGGAGCGGCCGAUAUCAGAUUAGGUAGUUGGUGAGGUAAAGGCUCACCAAGCCGACGAUCUGUAGCUGGUCUGAGAGGACGACCAGCCACACUGGGACUGAGACACGGCCCAGACUCCUACGGAGGCAGCAGUGGGGAAUUUUUGGACAAUGGGCGCAAGCCUGAUCCAGCAAUGCCGCGUGCAGGAUGAAGGCCUUCGGUU
rnacentral:rRNA from 1 species